rnacentral:rRNA from 1 species
GAAUUUCUGGUGUAGGGGUAAAAUCCGUAGAGAUCAGAAGGAAUACCGAUUGCGAAGGCGAUCUACUGGAACAUUACUGACGCUCAGAUGCGAAAGCGUGGGGAGCAAACAGGAUUAGAUACCCUGGUAGUCCACGCCCUAAACGAUGUACACUAGUUGUUGCUAUACUAGAUAUGGCAGUAAUGCAGUUAACACUUUAAGUGUACCGCCUGGGGAGUACGGUCGCAAGAUUAAAACUCAAAGGAAUAGACGGGGACCCGCACAAGCGGUGGAGCAUGUGGUUUAAUUCGACGAUACGCGAAAAACCUUACCUGGCCUUGACAUAGUAGGAAUCUUUAAGAGAUUAGAGAGUGCUAGCUUGCUAGAACCUACAUACAGGUGCUGCACGGCUGUCGUCAGCUCGUGUCGUGAGGUGUUGGGUUAAGUCCCGCAACGAGCGCAACCCACGUGAUUAGUUGCUAACGGUUCGGCCGAGAACUCUAAUCAGACUGCCUUCGUAAGGAGGAGGAAGGUGUGGACGACGUCAAGUCAUCAUGGCCCUUACGGCCAGGGCUACACACGUGCUACAAUGGGAUAUACAAAGAGUCGCAAUACCGCGAGGUGGAGCAAAUCUAGAAAAUAUCUCCCAGUUCGGAUUGUUCUCUGCAACUCGAGAACAUGAAGUUGGAAUCGCUAGUAAUCGUGGAUCAGCAUUGCCACGGUGAAUACGUUCCCGGGUCUUGUACUCACCGCCCGUCACACCAUGGGAGUUGAUUUCAUUCGAAGCGGGGAUGCUAAAGUAGCUACCUUCCACAAUGGGAUUAGCGACUGGGGUGAAGUCGUAACAAGGUAACC